GGGCCCGCACAAGCGGUGGAGCAUGUGGUUUAAUUCGAUGCAACGCGAAGAACCUUACCAGGGCUUGACAUACUACAAAUCUUUUUGAGAAAAAAGAGUGCCUUCGGGAAUGUAGAUACAGGUGGUGCAUGGCUGUCGUCAGCUCGUGUCGUGAGAUGUUGGGUUAAGUCCCGCAACGAGCGCAACCCUUAUUUUUAGUUGCCACCAUUUAGUUGGGCACUUUAAAAGAACUGCCAGUGAUAAGCUGGAGGAAGGUGGGGAUGACGUCAAGUCCUCAUGGCCCUUAUGUGUUGGGCUACACACGUGCUACAAUGGUACUUACAAUGGGAUGCAAAGAGGUGACUCCUAGCUAAUCCCUAAAACGUACCUCAGUUCGGAUUGUACUCUGUAACUCGAGUGCAUGAAGCUGGAAUUGCUAGUAAUCG
rnacentral:rRNA from 1 species